rnacentral:misc_RNA from 1 species
UCCGGUUUGACACCGGCAGUCUCCCUAGAGUUCCCGGCUUUACCCGCUGGUAACUAGGGACGAGGGUUGCGCUCGUUGCGGGACUUAACCCAACAUCUCACGACACGAGCUGACGACAGCCAUGCACCACCUGUGGUCGAGUCCCGAAGGAGGACCGUAUUUCUACGGCUUUCCCGACCAUGUCAAGCCUUGGUAAGGUUCUUCGCGUUGCGUCGAAUUAAACCACAUGCUCCUCCGCUUGUGCGGGCCCCCGUCAAUUCCUUUGAGUUUCAGCCUUGCGGCCGUACUCCCCAGGUGGAUCACUUAAUGCUUUCGCUCAGACGCGUACAGUGUAUCGCACACAUCGAGUGAUCAUCGUUUAGGGCGUGGACUAC